UACGUAGGGGGCGAGCGUUGUCCGGAAUUAUUGGGCGUAAAGAGCGUGUAGGCGGUUCGGUAAGUCUGCCGUGAAAACCUGGGGCUCAACCCUGGGCGUGCGGUGGAUACUGCCGGGCUAGAGGGUGGUAGAGGCGAGUGGAAUUCCCGGUGUAGCGGUGAAAUGCGCAGAUAUCGGGAGGAACACCAGUAGCGAAGGCAGCUCGCUGGGACGGUACUGACGCUAAGGCGCGAAAGCGUGGGGAGCGAACAGG
rnacentral:rRNA from 1 species